ACCCGCUGAACUUAAGCAUAUCAAUAAGCGGAGGAAAAGAAACCAACAGGGAUUGCCCUAGUAACGGCGAGUGAAGCGGCAACAGCUCAAAUUUGAAAUCUGGCUUCGGCCCGAGUUGUAAUUUGCAGAGGAUGUUUAUGGUGCGGUACCUUCCGAGUUCCCUGGAACGGGACGCCACAGAGGGUGAGAGCCCCGUCUGGUUGGAUACCAAACCUGUGUUAAACUCCUUCAACGAGUCGAGUAGUUUGGGAAUGCUGCUCUAAAUGGGAGGUAAAUCUCUUCUAAAGCUAAAUACCGGCCAGAGACCGAUAGCGCACAAGUAGAGUGAUCGAAAGAUGAAAAGCACCUUGNAAAGGGGGUUAAACAGUACGUGAAAUUGUUAAAAGGGAAGCGUUUAUGACCAGACUUGUGUCGUGUGGCUCAUCCGAGGUUCUCCCCGGUGCACUCCACACGGCUCAGGCNAACAUCNGUUCUNNNUGGGGGAUAAGAACAGUAGGAACGUAGCCCUNUUCGGCGGGUGUUAUAGCCUAUUGUACGAUACCCNGAUGGGGACCGAGGACCGCGCUUCGGCUAGGAUGUUGGCGUAAUGGUCAUUAGCGACCCGUCUUGAAACACGGACCAAGGAGUNGUCCAUUAGAGCGAGCGUUUGGGUGUAAAACCCGCACGCGUAAUGAAAGUGAAAUUAGGUGAGAGCUUCGGCGCAUCAUCGACCGAUCCUGAAGUUUACGGAUGGAUUUGAGUAAGAGUUUUAACGGACGGACCCGAAAGACAGUGAACUAUNCUUGAAUAGGGUGAAGCCAGAGGAAACUNUGNUNGAGGCUCGCAGCGGUUNCGACGUGCAAAUCGAUCGUC
rnacentral:rRNA from 1 species